GACGAACGCUGGCGGCGUGCUUAACACAUGCAAGUCGAACGGAAAGGCCCUGCUUUUGUGGGGUGCUCGAGUGGCGAACGGGUGAGUAACACGUGAGUAACCUGCCCUUGACUUUGGGAUAACUUCAGGAAACUGGGGCUAAUACCGGAUAGGAGCUCCUGCUGCAUGGUGGGGGUUGGAAAGUUUCGGCGGUUGGGGAUGGACUCGCGGCUUAUCAGCUUGUUGGUGGGGUAGUGGCUUACCAAGGCUUUGACGGGUAGCCGGCCUGGGAGGGUGACCGGCCACAUUGGGACUGAGAUACAGCCCAGUCUCCUACGGGAGGCAGCAGUGGGGAAUAUUGCACAAUGGGCGGAAGCCUGAUGCAGCAACGCCGCGUGCGGGAUGACGGCCUUCGGGUUGUAAACCGCUUUCGCCUGUGACGAAGCGUGAGUGACGGUAAUGGGUAAAGAAGCACCGGCUAACUACGUG
rnacentral:rRNA from 1 species